CUCUGUCACCCCAGCUAGAACGCAGUGGCAUCAUUAUAGCUCACUGCAACUGCUAGGUGAGAAACCAUGGGUUCUUGGCAUGCUCACGGCUGAAGAACGAAGAAUGACCAGACACACCAAAGCUAGGCAAGCAUGAAAAUGAGGUUUAUUGAGGAGAGAAAGACAGGAUUAUAGGGCAAGAGCAAGAUACAGGUUUACAGAGCAAGAUACAUGUGCCACACAUGACGACGGGACCCAUUGUCCUAGCAGAGCAAGCAAAAGGAAGGGCAAAGAGAGAGCUUGGCUGUGGUCUGCAUCCUAUUUUAUAGUGUCCAGAUAGAGACCUCCCUCGUGGUUCAGAGGUCACCAAGAAACCACUUUGAUUAGACAGUUGGGAGUCACAUGACCUGAGCCUUAACUACACAUGUGGGUUCUAGGUCACUUUCCGGACUUGAUGGUACCCAUGUGGCUUGGCCUGUGGGCUAGAGAGUCCUCUGCAUUCUUUUGUAGCUGGUGUACCAAGUUCUGACUGGCAGAUUCAUAUGGUGUUCCCUCCUCCCCCAGGUGUGGAGAAUUAGGGUGGGGCAGGGCCAAGACUGGGGCAACAGCACCCCCUUCGUCCAUAGGAGACCUGGAAUCCCUCACUAUCUACCUAACACAACCUCAAACUCCUGGGCCCAAGCAGCCCUCCUGACCCAGCCUCCCAGGUAGCUGGGACUACAGGUGUGCACCACCACUGCCCAACUACUUUUAUGAGUCUCACUCUGCCUCAGGCUGGGCUCAAGCGACCCUCCCGCCUUGACCUCCCACAGUGCUAGGAUUAUAGGUGUGAGCCACUGCACUGGCCUCAACUUUAUUUUUUAGAACAGUUUUAGACAUACAGAAAACUUAGUAAGAUAAUGCAGAAUUUCUAUAAACCCUGCAUCCAUUUUCUCCUAUUACUAAUAAUUUAUUAAUUUAUUUGGCACUUUUUUUUAAGCAAGCACGAAAAUGAGGUUAAUUGAGGAAAGAUUGGAUUACAGGACAAGAGCAAGACACAAGUUUACAGAGUGUGAUACACACACCACUGAGGGCGACUGGCCCCGCUGUUGCAGCAAAGGGAGAGCCACUGGAGGGGCACAAAAAGAGGACUGGUACACUUGCUAUAACUAACGAACCAACGUUGAUAUUUUAUUAACUAAAGCCCAUGCUGUGUUCGUAUUUCCUUAGCUUUCCCCUCGUAUCUUUUUACUGUUGGAAGAGCUCAUUCGGAAUACCCCGUCAUGCUUGGUCCUCCUGUCUCCUUAGUCUCCUCUUGACUUGAGCGCAACCCCGCCUACUAUGAAAAGCCCAGCCCUUGGAUGUGCUGCCUGGAAUGAAAUCGCGGGUCUCCUGUGUGUUCCUGAGCAACUUCCUUGAGCACCCAGCGCCUUCUCUGUAAAACGGGCGGUGAUGUCUCCUUCAGGCUGGUCACGUACAUUAAAUGGCUCUCCUGAUAAGAGCGACACUAGAGCUGAAGGAUGGAUGCGACUGGGGCAAAGGGGUCGUAGGAGUUGGUGGUUUGAAGAAUUCAUUACAAGCAGCUGUUCUGCCCACCGUCCUCUGCCGUACACGAACUGCACCUAGCAGGAAGCAAUUCUUCACCUGCCAGUUUGGCCCUGAACAGGGCAGGUAGGAUGGGGGGCGGCUAUCUCGGUUUAUAAAAACCCUCACAAAACCCCCUUCUGUGCUGACUCUCUUUUCGGACUCAGCCCUCUUGCAAAUAAACCAGCCAUGUUGCUCCCA